UUUCUCCUCCAGCAUUUCCAUGGAACAAGAAACUGGUAAUACGUCUGAAAACCCUCUUUUAAAAAGUUGCUUCCCAAUCACUGACUAGAAAGAUCAGAACAUUUCCUGAAAUGUUGUGGUUUGCAUAUGAUCACAGUAAAGAUCGAAUGGAAAAAUUGCACCAUUUACCAGUUGAGCUUGGUUGGAUAGUCAUCUACAGCUACAGCAGCGUGGCAAGUGUCCUGGAACACUACUGAGAUGCCACACUCUACAAAAGCUUUCCUGCAGAGCUGUCAUCAGGAGCAUUCCAAAUCUUUUCCAGAGUGCCACAGCUUGUAAGUCAAUAAAGUGUCUGACUUUCCAAUCA